AAAGAAAAAAAUCUGGUUUCAGGACCAUGUUUUUCUGAGUCCUAGGAGAGAGAGCUUUGGAUGAAGGUCACUUUGGAAGUAAAGGGAAUGAAAGGAAGAAAAGAAAAGGGAAGUGAACAGGAAGUGGGAAUUCACGCCAGUCACCCCCAGUUACCCCAGAAACCCGAUAAAAGGAGACAGAAGAUGUAUCCACCAAAAAUCCAACCCUGGGCUAGGAGUGGUGGUGUUCACCUGUCAUCAGGGUACUUGGGAGCUUGAGGCAGAGGACAUGGU
rnacentral:lncRNA from 1 species